rnacentral:lncRNA from 1 species
CCCAGCUGUUAUGCUUCACUCUGGCUGCCGUCCUCAGCAAGAGCAGCAUGGGGGAGUGUGGGCAACCGGCUGCAGGAGCAGCUGGGCCUAUUUUUUAAGAGGAAAAAAAUAGUCAAUGAAGACAAAGGGAAACUGCGUUGGGAGCAGCGUGAAUGGAAACUUGGGAGCCUGGCUAGGGAACCCGAGAAGGGAAGUGCACCCAAGCUGGAGUUCAUCACUCUAGAAAUGAAUGCAAGGCUAGAGUGGACACUGGAGAUCAUGACUGAAGCAAAUGGGAAGAAAAGAUGCUGGAAAUGUGACAUUGAUCACGUAAUGGCCCAGAUGAAUUCAAACCACUCUCUGCCAAAGGCCUAAACUGUGCCUUCCAAUAACAUACAGAUAUUUCCUGAAUAAUUUUAAAGCAGUUCUGGAUUUCUCUUCAAAACUUUCAUAAUAGAAGACCUGAAGCCAAAGUAGGGCCUAACAUUUUGGAGCAGGAGCAGAAGAGAAGUAUUCUCAUCCAUUUUCCUGAGUUCUGAAUGCUCCCCCAGCAAGCCCUACCACACCUCAUUUUGUGCCACCUAUAUUAGGAAACUACUAAAUAGAUGUGGCAUGCUAAAAAAGAAGUCAGAUUGGUGACAUUAAUGUGAAUAAAUGUAACAAUUACAUUCUAUAUAUUAAAUGCAAUUGUCGAAAUAAAUUUAUUGAGUAGCCAAAGUGGAUUAGA